GAGUAGUGGACAGAAGGGAUUUCUGA
rnacentral:piRNA from 2 species